AAAGUCGAAGAAUGUGACUUUUGACACCUUUUCUUUUUUAUAAAUAUUAAUUCAGAAUUAACUGAAACUUAUUAUAUCAAUUAUUAGUUAAAUAAUUAAGCUAGAUAAAACCUUGAAUCUAUUUCCUAUAUAAACACCUUUCUCUACCCCAAAACUCACUCAAAAAUAUUUAUAUAUAUAACCACAUCGAAAGAGAUAGAAAAGGAAAAAAAGGAGGAAAUUAAUGGCUGAUGAAUGUCCAUGUCCUGCAGGUAAGAGUUCAUGGCCGGAGCUUGUGGGGAAGAAUGGAGAUGAAGCCGCGAAAACGAUAGGAAAAGAGAAUGGGAAUGUGAUGGCCUUUGUAAUUCUUGAAGGAACCAUUGUCACUAAAGAGUUUAGUUGUGAGAGGGUUAGGGUUUGGGUUAAUCACUCUGGAAUUGUUAUUCAAGUCCCAAAAAUUGGCUAAUUAAUAAAUUAUUAAUAAAUAUUAUUAAGUGUUUACCUCUCAUCAUCAUUUUAUUACAUUAAUAAAUUUUGGACUUGAACUGUUAUUUAAGUUGAUCAUGUAAUUAUUACAUUAAUAAAAAAAAAUAUGCAAUAAGUUGUUCGUGUUAAUUAUAA